ACCUCGAUGUCGGCUCAUCACAUCCUGGGGCUGAAGUAGGUCCCAAGGGUAUGGCUGUUCGCCAUUUAAAGUGGUACGCGAGCUGGGUUUAGAACGUCGUGAGACAGUUCGGUCCCUAUCUGCCGUGGGCGCUGGAGAACUGAGGGGGGCUGCUCCUAGUACGAGAGGACCGGAGUGGACGCAUCACUGGUGUUCGGGUUGUCAUGCCAAUGGCACUGCCCGGUAGCUAAAUGCGGAAGAGAUAAGUGCUGAAAGCAUCUAAGCACGAAACUUGCCCCGAGAUGAGUUCUCCCUGACUCCUUGAGAGUCCUGAAGGAACGUUGAAGACGACGACGUUGAUAGGCCGGGUGUGUAAGCGCAGCGAUGCGUUGAGCUAACCGGUACUAAUGAACCGUGAGG
rnacentral:rRNA from 1 species